CUGCAGGCUGAAACUCGCCUGCACGAAGUUGGAAUUGCUAGUAAUCGCGGAUCAGCAUGCCGCGGUGAAUACGUUCCCGGGUCUUGUACACGCCGCCCGUCACACCAUGGGAGCUGGUAACACCCGAAGUCAGUAGUCUAACCGCAAGGAGGACGCUGCCGAAGGUGGGAUUAGCGACUGGGGUGAAGUCGUAACAAGGUACC
rnacentral:rRNA from 1 species